GGCAAAAUAAUACGUAUUUUAGGCUUUGCAGCCCACACGAUCUCUGGUGUAACUACUCUGCCAUGAUAGUAUGAAAGCAGCCAUAGAUAAUAAGCAAACAAAGGAGUGUGGCUGUGUUCUAGUCAAAGUGUAUUUAUAAAAGCAGGUAGGAGGCUGGACUUGCCCCACAGGCUGCAGUUUGCUCACCCCUCAUCUAUUCGCAAACAAAUCUCAUUGAGGUUUGCUCCGUGAGUGGCUGCUCUGUUCUCUUCUAAGAAAGACAAACUCCGUACUAUUUAGAGGUGACAGCGUGCUGGCAGUCCUCACAGCCCUCGCUCGCUCUCCGCGCCUCCUCUGCCUGGGCUCCCACUUUGGCGGCACUUGAGGAGCCCUUCAGCCCGCCGCUGCACCGUGGGAGCCCCUUUCUGGGCUGGGCAAGGCGGGAGCCGGCUCCCUCAGCUUGCGGGGAGGUCUGGAGGGAGAGGCGCGGGCGGGAACCGGGGCUGCUCGCAGUGCCUGCGGGCCAGCGCGAGUUCCGGGUGGGCGUGGGCUCGGCGGACCCAGCACUCGGAGCGGCCGACCGGCCCUACCGGCGCCGGGCAGUGAGGGGCUUAGCACCUGGGCCAGCAGCUGCUGUGCUCAAUUUCUCGCCGGGCCUUAGCUGCCUUCCUACGGGGCAGGGCUCGGGACCUGCAGCCCGCCAUGCCUGAGCUUCCCCCCGACCCGCCUUGGGCUCCUGUGCGGCCGGAGCCCAUGUGAAGAGCACUCAGUAUGAUGACCGGAGACACAGCUGUUGGAGGAAAAAAGUUUAUGUCAAUUAAAAUCCUGAAUUUCUCUGAUCUGGAAAGAAAAACUGCUAUGAACUCUUUAGGUUUCAGAUAAUGAAUACAAGAGUAAACAGGAACCCUGACUUACAGCAUAGGACUACAGGACUGGGGAGAGAAUCAUGCUACAACUGCAGUCGAGGUAUGUGCGAAGCGCCAUCUGGCUUUGAACUUACUAAAGUGUUUGGAUUUUUGAACUGCACCUCUUCAAGAAUCUGUUUCCUCUUAAUUGGGAGUACCUAAGCCUAAGCCGUAUUAGCCAAUAGUUCGUAGUUAUGCUUUUCACAACUUUCCAAGCGUGUUCAUUGAAAAUCAGGAUGUAACUGAAGAGCACACGAACAGCAACAAUUAAGACUUUAUGAGUAACAGAAAAGCCAACUAAGAGCGACUCUGACCUAAGGGCCUUUCUUUUUACGUAAAAAUACCUCUUCACUUACCCAG
rnacentral:lncRNA from 10 species